rnacentral:rRNA from 1 species
GAGUUUGAUCAUGGCUCAGAUUGAACGCUGGCGGCAGGCCUAACACAUGCAAGUCGAGCGGAAACGAUGGGAGCUUGCUCCCAGGCGUCGAGCGGCGGACGGGUGAGUAAUGCAUAGGAAUUUGCCCAGUAGUGGGGGAUAGCCCGGGGAAACCCGGAUUAAUACCGCAUACGCCCUACGGGGGAAAGCAGGGGAUCUUCGGACCUUGCGCUAUUGGAUGAGCCUAUGUCGGAUUAGCUAGUUGGUGGGGUAAAGGCCUACCAAGGCGACGAUCCGUAGCUGGUCUGAGAGGAUGAUCAGCCACAUCGGGACUGAGACACGGCCCGAACUCCUACGGGAGGCAGCAGUGGGGAAUAUUGGACAAUGGGGGCAACCCUGAUCCAGCCAUGCCGCGUGUGUGAAGAAGGCUUUCGGGUUGUAAAGCACUUUCAGUGAGGAGGAAAACCUUACGAUUAAUACUCGUGAGGCUUGACGUUACUCACAGAAGAAGCACCGGCUAACUCCGUGCCAGCAGCCGCGGUAA